AACGAACGCUGGCGGCAUGCCUAACACAUGCAAGUCGAACGAGACCUUCGGGUCUAGUGGCGCACGGGUGCGUAACGCGUGGGAACCUGCCCUUAGGUUCGGAAUAACUCCCCGAAAGGGGUGCUAAUACCAGAUAAUGUCUUCGGACCAAAGAUUUAUCGCCUUUGGAUGGGCCCGCGUUGGAUUAGCUAGUUGGUAGGGUAAAAGCCUACCAAGGCGACGAUCCAUAGCUGGUCUGAGAGGAUGAUCAGCCACACUGGGACUGAGACACGGCCCAGACUCCUACGGGAGGCAGCAGUGGGGAAUAUUGGACAAUGGGCAAAAGCCUGAUCCAGCAAUGCCGCGUGAGUGAUGAAGGCCUUAGGGUUGUAAAGCUCUUUUACCCGGGAUGAUAAUGACAGUACCGGGAGAAUAAGCUCCGGCUAACUCCGUG
rnacentral:rRNA from 1 species